rnacentral:rRNA from 1 species
UACAGAGGGUGCGAGCGUUAAUCGGAAUUACUGGGCGUAAAGGGCGCGUAGGUGGUUUGGUGAGUGAGAUGUGAAAUCCCUGGGCUUAACCUGGGAACUGCAUCUUAUACUGCCGGACUCGAGUACGGUAGAGGGUAGUGGAAUUUCCGGUGUAGCGGUGAAAUGCGUAGAUAUCGGAAGGAACACCAGUGGCGAAGGCGGCUACCUGGACUGAUACUGACACUGAGGCGCGAGAGCGUGGGUAGCAAACAGG